rnacentral:sRNA from 1 species
UGUUGUGAUUGAUUCUUUCUGCAAAGAU